AGAGUUUGAUCCUGGCUCAGAUAGAACGCUGGCGGCAGGCCUGACACAUGCAAGUCGAGCGGCAGCAGCUCCUUCGGGAGGCUGGCGAGCGGCGGACGGGUGAGUAACGCAUGGGAACUUACCCAGUAGUGGGGGAUAGCCCGGGGAAACCCGGAUUAAUACCGCAUACGCCCUGAGGGGGAAAGCGGGCUCCGGCUCGCGCUAUUGGAUGGGCCCAUGUCGGAUUAGUUAGUUGGUGGGGUAACGGCCUACCAAGGCGACGAUCCGUAGCUGGUCUGAGAGGAUGAUCAGCCACACCGGGACUGAGACACGGCCCGGACUCCUACGGGAGGCAGCAGUGGGGAAUAUUGGACAAUGGGGAGCAACCCUGAUCCAGCCAUGCCGCGUGUGUGAAGAAGGCCUUAGGGUUGUAAAGCACUUUCAGCAGGGAGGUAAAGCUGUCGGUUAAUACCCGCCAGUGUUGACGUUACCUGCAGAAGAAGCACCGGCUAACUCCGUGCCAGCAGCCGCGGUAAUACGGAGGGUGCAAGCGUUAAUCGGAAUUACUGGGCGUAAAGGGCGCGUAGGCGGUUUGGUAAGCGAGUUGUGAAAGCCCCGGGCUCAACCUGGGAAUGGCAAUUCGAACUGCCAAGCUAGAGUGCAGCAGAGGGCAGUGGAAUCCCGGUGUAGCGGUGAAUGCGUAGAUAUCGGAGGAAACACUGGCGAAGCGACUGCUGGGUGCCUGAACUGAGUGGAAACGGGGAGAACAGAUAAUACCUGGAUCACCUUACCG
rnacentral:rRNA from 1 species